GACGAACGCUGGCGGCGUGCUUAACACAUGCAAGUCGAACGGAAAGGCCCUUCGGGGUUCUCGAGUGGCGAACGGGUGAGUAACACGUGGGUGAUCUGCCCUGCACUUUGGGAUAAGCCUGGGAAACUGGGUCUAAUACCGAAUAGGACCACGCGCUUCAUGGUGUGUGGUGGAAAGCUUUUGCGGUGUGGGAUGGGCCCGCGGCCUAUCAGCUUGUUGGUGGGGUAAUGGCCUACCAAGGCGACGACGGGUAGCCGGCCUGAGAGGGUGACCGGCCACACUGGGACUGAGAUACGGCCCAGACUCCUACGGGAGGCAGCAGUGGGGAAUAUUGCACAAUGGGCGCAAGCCUGAUGCAGCGACGCCGCGUGAGGGAUGACGGCCUUCGGGUUGUAAACCUCUUUCAAUAGGGACGAAGCGCAAGUGACGGUACCUAUAGAAGAAGCACCGGCCAACUACGUG
rnacentral:rRNA from 1 species